GCCGGGCGCGGUGGCGCGUGCCUCUAGUCCCAGCUACUCGGGAGGCUGAGGUGGGAGGAUCGCUUGAGCCCAGGAGUUCUGGGCUGUAGUGCGCUAUGCUGAUCGGAUGUCCACACUAAGUUCGGCAUCAAUAUGGUGACCUCCUGGGAGCAGGGGACCACCAGGUUGCCUAAGGAGGGGUGAACUGGCCCAGGUCGGAAAUGGAGCAGGUCAAAACUCCCGUGCUGAUCAGUAGUGGGAUCGCGCCUGUGAAUAGCCACUGCACUCUAACCUGGGCAACAUAGUGAGACCCUGUCUCU
rnacentral:SRP_RNA from 1 species